rnacentral:rRNA from 1 species
GACGAACGCUGGCGGCGUGCCUAAUACAUGCAAGUCGAACGCUUCUUUCCUCCCGAGUGCUUGCACUCAAUUGGAAAGAGGAGUGGCGGACGGGUGAGUAACACGUGGGUAACCUACCCAUCAGAGGGGGAUAACACUUGGAAACAGGUGCUAAUACCGCAUAACAGUUUAUUCCGCAUGGCAUAAGAGUGAAAGGCGCUUUCGGGUGUCGCUGAUGGAUGGACCCCCGGUGCAUUAGCUAGUUGGUGAGGUAACGGCUCACCAAGGCCACGAUGCAUAGCCGACCUGAGAGGGUGAUCGGCCACACUGGGACUGAGACACGGCCCAGACUCCUACGGGAGGCAGCAGUAGGGAAUCUUCGGCAAUGGACGGAAGUCUGACCGAGCAACGCCGCGUGAGUGAAGAAGGUUUUCGGAUCGUAAAACUCUGUUGUUAGAGAAGAACAAGGACGUUAGUAACUGAACGUCCCCUGACGGUAUCUAACCAGAAAGCCACGGCUAACUACGUGCCAGCAGCCGCCGUAA